AAGAUUAAGCCAUGCAUGUCUAAGUAUAAGCAAUUUAUACAGUGAAACUGCGAAUGGCUCAUUAAAUCAGUUAUCGUUUAUUUGAUAGUUCCUUUACUACAUGGUAUAACUGUGGUAAUUCUAGAGCUAAUACAAUGCGAAAAGACCCGACUUCUGGAAGGGUUGUAUUUAUUAGAUAAAAACCAAUGCGGAGCAAUCCGGUUUUUGGUGAAUCAUAAUAACUUAACGGAUCGCAU
rnacentral:rRNA from 1 species